AGACCAGAAUCCUGCCCUGGGCCUUGCCUGGUCUGCCUCACUCUGCCAUGGGCUGCAGGCUCCUCUGCUGUGUGGUCUUCUGCCUCCUCCAAGCAGGUCCCUUGGACACAGCUGUUUCCCAGACUCCAAAAUACCUGGUCACACAGAUGGGAAACGACAAGUCCAUUAAAUGUGAACAAAAUCUGGGCCAUGAUACUAUGUAUUGGUAUAAACAGGACUCUAAGAAAUUUCUGAAGAUAAUGUUUAGCUACAAUAAUAAGGAGCUCAUUAUAAAUGAAACAGUUCCAAAUCGCUUCUCACCUAAAUCUCCAGACAAAGCUCACUUAAAUCUUCACAUCAAUUCCCUGGAGCUUGGUGACUCUGCUGUGUAUUUCUGUGCCAGCAGCCAAGA
rnacentral:lncRNA from 1 species